GGUUGAUCCUGCCAGUAGUCAUAUGCUUGUCUCAAAGAUUAAGCCAUGCAUGUCUAAGUACAUACCGAAAUAAGGUGAAACCGCGAAUGGCUCAUUAAAUCAGUUACGGUUCCUUAGAUACUGAAUCUUACAUGGAUAACUGUGGUAAUUCUAGAGCUAAUACAUGCACAAAAGCCCCGACUCUCGGGAAGGGGCGCAUUUAUCAGACCAAGACCAACGGGGCUUCGGCCUCUGCGGAUGGUGACUCUGGAUAACUAAGCUAAUCGCAUGGCCUCUGCGCCGGCGAUAAAU
rnacentral:rRNA from 1 species